rnacentral:lncRNA from 1 species
AAAAAUAAUAAUAAAAUAAAAAAAUAAAAUAAAUUGCUGGACACAGUGGCUCACACCUGUAAUCCCAGCACUUUGGGAGGCUGGGGGCAGGCGCAUCACGAGGUCAGGAGUUCGAGACCAGCCUGACCAAUAUGGUGAAACCCCGUCUCUACUAAAAAUACAAAAAUUAGCCGGGCAUAGUGGUAGGUGCUUGUAGUCCCGGCUACUCAGGAGGCUGAGGCCGGAGAAUUGCUUGAACCCGGGAGGUGGAGGUUGCAAUGAGCUGAGGUCACGCCACUGCACUCCAGUCUGAGCAACAGAGCUAGACUCCUUCUCAAAAAAAUAAAAUAAAUUAAAAAAAAAUAAUAAAGAUGUAAUGACAGGGAAAUAGACAGAUGUUGAUACACCCUGAAGCAGGUAGUGAAGCUGGCAGUUGGCCACUGGUUCCCACAGAAAAUUGCUCUAGUGAUGCUAGCAAAUCCCAAAAUUGGGGCUCAAUCCAGGAGGAUUCCUGGCUUCAUAAAGGAAAUAAUUCAAGAGCAAGCCAAGAGUGUAAAGUGAAGGCAAAGCAAGUUUAUGAGAGCAAGAGAACAGGAAAAUGGCUGCUCCACAGACAGAGCAGGGCUACUCCACAGGCAAAGUAGCACCCGUGGAUUGUUGGCUAGCUAUAUUUAUAGCUACUCCUUAAUUAUGUGCUAAAUAAGAGGUCGGUUAUUCAUGAACUUUCUAGAAAAAGGUUGGAGAGUUCCCAGAACCAGGGGUUCCUUCUCUUUUAAACUACAUGAGGUAGCUUCUGGGCAUUGCCAUAGCAUUUGUAAACGGCCAUGGUGCUGGUGGGAGUGUCUUUUAGCAUGCUAAUACAUUAUAAUGAGCAUAUAAUGAGCAAUGAGGGCAACUAGAAUUGAUGUUCAUUGCCAUCUCAGUUUCACUGCUUUCAGCUGGUUUCUUUAGUGCAUCCUGUUUUGACCAGAUCCUGUUUCAUCAUGAGCAGGGUCAUGACCACUGCUCAGAAACAAGUCCUGCUGACCUAUGUCACUGUUUGAAAUGCUUAUUCUUCAGUGCCAUAAAGAAAUAGCACUUGAGCCACCACGCCCUGCCCUCAAUUUCUUUUUUCACAUUGACAUCUAUCUCAAAGGAAGAGCAACUUAACCAAUGCCUUUGUGGUACACAUCAGUGGCUACAACUUUCACAAUUACAGCACAGAUAAAAAAGGCAUCUGAAUAACAGCAUAAACAUGGCAUCUGAGCUCCAAAAUUUCAUCUCCUUACAAGAAAGUGGUUAUUUUCCAGUGACUGCAGGAAUAGUUUCACACUGGGUACUGGCAUUAUCUCAGAAUAAAUGUUUUUGUUUUAUUUUUUUUGAGACAGCGUCUAACUGUCGCCUAGGCUGGAGUGCAGUGGUGUGAUCUCAGCUCACUGUAACCUCUGUUGCCUGGGUUCAAGUGAUUCUCCUGCCUCAGCCUCCUGAGUAGCUGGGAUUACAGGCAUGUGCCACCACGCCUGGCUAAUUUUUGUAUUUUUAGUAGAGAUGGCGUUUCACUAUGUUGGCC